CGGGGGGGCAAGCGUUGUUCGGAAUUACUGGGCGUAAAGGGCUCGUAGGUGGCCAACUAAGUCAGACGUGAAAUCCCCAGGCUCAACUUGGGAACUGCGUCUGAUACUGGAUGGCUUGAAUUCGGGAGAGGGAUGCAGAAUUCCAGGUGUAGCGGUGAAAUGCGUAGAUAUCUGGAGGAAUACCGGUGGCGAAGGCGGCAUCCUGGACCGAGAUUGACACUGAGGAGCGAAAGCCAGGGGAGCAAACGGGAUUAGAUACCCCGGUAGUCCUGGCCCUAAACGAUGAAUGCUUGGUGUGACGGGUAUCGAUCCCUGUCGUGCCGAAGCUAACGCAUUAAGCAUUCCGCCUGGGGAGUACGGUCGCAAGGCUG
rnacentral:rRNA from 1 species